rnacentral:rRNA from 1 species
UGAGAAAUGGCUACCACUUCUAAGGAAGGCAGCAGGCGCGCAAAUUACCCAAUCCCGACACGGGGAGGUAGUGACAAUAAAUAACAAUACAGGCGCUCGAUAAGAGUCUUGUAAUUGGAAUGAGUACAAUUUAAACCCCUUAACGAGUAACAAUUGGAGGGCAAGUCUGGUGCCAGCAGCCGCGGUAAUUCCAGCUCCAAUAGCGUAUAUUAAAGUUGUUGCAGUUAAAAAGCUCGUAGUUGGAUCUAGGGACGCGCAUUUCAAGCGCCCGUGCCAUCGGGUCAAACCGGUGGCUGCGUUGGCGUUGCGGGCUCGGUCCGUCGGUGCCCCACAAAGGGCUAUCGGCGUGUCAACCGGCCCGCCCGUCCCCUCCUUCUGGAUUCCCGUUCCUGCUAUUGAGUUAGUGGGGACGUCACAGGGGGUCCAUCGUCGUGCGGCGUCAAAACCGUGCGGCGGUGGGUCCCUGGGGCCCAGAUCGUUUACCGUGAAAAAAUUAGAGUGUUCAAAGCAGGCAGAUCCAAUUUUCUGCCACCGAAUACAUUAGCAUGGGAUAAUGGAAUAGGACCCUGUCCUCCUAUUUUCAGUUGGUUUUGGCAGCGCGAGGACUAGGGUAAUGAUUAAUAGGGAUAGUUGGGGGCAUUAAUAUUUAAUUGUCAGAGGUGAAAUUCUUGGAUUUAUGAAAGAUUAACUUCUGCGAAAGCAUCUGCCAAGGAUGUUUUCAUUAAUCAAGAACGAAAGUUAGGGGAUCGAAGACGAUCAGAUACCGUCGUAGUCUUAACCAUAAACGAUGCCGACCAGCGAUUAGGAGACGUUGAAUACAAAACACCACCAUCGGUGCGGUCGUCCUUGGCGUCUCGGUCCUUCACGGGGCCGGGGCGCGGGGGUGGCUUAGCCCGGUGGCACCGGUGAAUGACUCCCCUAGCAGCUUGUGAGAAAUCAUAAGUCUUUGGGUUCCGGGGGGAGUAUGGUCGCAAGGCUGAAACUUAAAGGAAUUGACGGAAGGGCACCACCAGGAGUGGAGCCUGCGGCUUAAUUUGACUCAACACGGGGAAACUUACCAGGUCCGGACAUAGUAAGGAUUGACAGAUUGAUAGCUCUUUCUUGAUUCU